GACCUGAAACACCAGGAACCAAACCUUCAACAACAUUAGCACCACGAAAGACCAAAAGACCAGGUCGUCGCCCCCGCCCCCGUCCCCGCCCUAAAACCACACCUAGUCCAGAAGUGCCCAAGUCCAAACCCGCUCUGGAACCUGCCACGAUACAACCGGAGCCCUUGGUGCCCACAACUGUUCCCACCACAGACAUUGAGCCUGUAACUGUGAGAACUGAGGCUACAGUGACAACAUUAGCUCCAAAAACAUCGCAACGAACAAGAACACGUCGUCCACGUCCCAAACAUAAAACCACGCCACGCCCAGAGACACUGCAGACCAAACUAGACUUUGGACCUAUUACUCCUGGGACAUCUUCAGCUCCAACAACAACAACAAAAAGAACCCGUCGUCCACAUCCCAAACCUAAAACCACGCCCCAUCCAGAAGUACCUCAAACUAAACUGG
rnacentral:lncRNA from 10 species